CGAAGGACGCGUCACGACGCUUUCCGUAUUGUUUUUGUGUGUUUUUCCUAAUUUUAACAUGUUUUCAUGGUUAUUUCAAUGUGAAAUCUGUGCGUGGUUACGUGUUUGAGUUUAUUAUGAAGACAGGUAUUACGUACAUACGGAAUACGCGAAAAUGCAGCCGCUGGAUACAGGAGUCGUAGGACCAAGUAUAGAACUAGCUACACUACAAAAGGUUUACGUCCCAGCAGGACGUCCGUCGGCUGAUGUGAUGGUGAUAAUAAAACCGUGGCACGCUAUCUAAACCUACAUCCAUAGCUCUGCGCCCGAGUUCCGGAGAUGGCGAGCUUUCGUGGCACACAAAAAGAAAGUACGCACACUGAUGCAACUUUAUAUUUAUCACUUCACAGCUGCACACCUAUGAUCGAUCCUUAUUCAAGAUGGCCGCCGGCACAGGCGGGAAUCAACUCGCACACUCCCCUCCCGCGCCGCGGCCCGUCAAUCUCACCACUGCACCGAUUAAUUAAUAAACUUUGGUGUUUUAAUAAGUAAUUUAAAUAAAAAUUCAUGAUACGUGUACACUCUAACACGAUUUUUGACUCACUAAAAGUCAAAAAACUUGGCGUAUUCAAAACUUGAAAGUCAUAAAACAUAUUCUCCCCCAUUAUUAGUUUAUGGCUAGCGACUGUUGCGGGGCUAUUAUGUCGUUAUUUUUGUGUGUUAUUCAACGUUUGUUUUGAUUGUGUGCGGUGCGGACGAGCCAAUUUGGGGUACCAUUAGGAACUAUUGAGUACUUACGUGGCAUUCUUUAUGAAUGUUGCUCAAGGUCGUCAUUGUUGUAAACUACUUACCUCACUAAGACCUGUUAAGACGAAUUUCACAAACAGAAUAAAUACCAAGUAACAAACAAAAAAAUGCACAUUUUUUAAUGUUUUGAGUAAUUACACUUGACUUUUUAUUGUU
rnacentral:misc_RNA from 1 species